rnacentral:rRNA from 1 species
UACGAAGGGGGCUAGCGUUGUUCGGAAUGACUGGGCGUAAAGCGCGCGUAGGCGGACCUGCAAGUCGGGGGUGAAAUCCCGGGGCUCAACCCUGGAAUGGCCUUCGAGACUGCCGGUCUUGAGUUCGAGAGAGGUGGGUGGAAUUCCGAGUGUAGAGGUGAAAUUCGUAGAUAUUAGGAAGAACACCAGUGGCGAAGGCGGCUCACUGGUCCGGUACUGACGCUGAGGUGCGAAAGCGUGGGGAGCAAACAGG